rnacentral:rRNA from 1 species
ACUCCUACGGGAGGCAGCAGUGAGGAAUAUUGGACAAUGGAGGCAACUCUGAUCCAGCCAUGCCGCGUGUAGGAAGACGGCCCUAUGGGUUGUAAACUACUUUUGUACGGGAAGAAAUACAGUCACGUGUGAUUGUUUGACGGUACCGUAAGAAUAAGCACCGGCUAACUCCGUGCCAGCAGCCGCGGUAAUACGGAGGGUGCAAGCGUUAUCCGGAAUCAUUGGGUUUAAAGGGUCCGUAGGCGGGUAAUUAAGUCAGUGGUGAAAUGCAGGGGGCUCAACUCCGGCACUGCCAUUGAUACUGGUUAUCUUGAAUUAUUGUGAAGUGGUUAGAAUAUGUAGUGUAGCGGUGAAAUGCUUAGAUAUUACAUAGAAUACCGAUUGCGAAGGCAGAUCACUAACAAUAUAUUGACGCUGAUGGACGAAAGCGUGGGAGCGAACAGGAUUAGAUACCCCUGGUAGGAUAGCG